rnacentral:lncRNA from 1 species
ACCGUGACGGUACCCGACAAUCCGGAACAGUCUACACACUACUGUAAAAUAAGCUCGGCAUCCCAGCAUGAGCGUAAACUCACCCUACGCUAAUCUGAGUAUCCAUCACAUACUAACAGCGACGAUACAAAAGAACCACAGCUAAUAAAACUAAAUCUGGUAGUUUUCAGAAAAUAACAGUAUAUGAUCUACAGUUUUCUCCUAAGUCAAUUCCAAGUACAACAUGUAAAAUUAUACUACUACUACUUAACUCCAAAUUCAGAUUUUAAAUCUAAUCCAUGAAUUCGAGUACUAGCAAGAAAAUAAACACAUGAUACAUAUUGACGAUAUAAAA